GUUACUGACAUGUCAACGAGAUCAGCACUGGAACAAAGCGAGAGCAUCAACGGUGCGGUGUAUAGGAAGACGGAGCUUUUGCCCUGGACGAACAGCACGAUGAACAAAGAAAGGAGAACAAAGCAUGGUCUCCUGUCUUCUCCCGAACGUACUUCCAGGACCGAGCUCCAUGGCCAUGUCGCAUUCGAACAGUGCCCUUCCUUAUGUCGAUGCACGAGGAGGGAAAAUUGAUGGUGCUGCGCACAUGCAGAUGAUUGCUUGCAGAUAGAUACCAAUGAAGAUAGUGUUCUAACGAUGG